AUGAACGCUAGCGACAGGCUUAACACAUGCAAGUCGAGGGGCAGCGGGGAGUAGCAAUACUUCGCCGGCGACCGGCGCACGGGUGAGUAACACGUGUGCAACCAACCCCGUACCGGGAGAUAACCCGCGGAAACGUGGACUAACAUCCCAUGACACUCGAGAGCCGCAUGGCUCUAGAUUUAAAAUUCCGGUGGUACGGGACGGGCACGCGCGACAUUAGGUAGUUGGCGGGGUAACGGCCCACCAAGCCGACGAUGUCUAGGGGUUCUGAGAGGAAGGUCCCCCACACUGGAACUGAGACACGGUCCAGACUCCUACGGGAGGCAGCAGUGAGGAAUAUUGGUCAAUGGGCGAGAGCCUGAACCAGCCAAGUCGCGUGAGGGAAGAAUGGUCUAUGGCCUGUAAACCUCUUUUGUCAGGGAAGAAUAAGGAUGACGAGUCAUUCGAUGCCAGUACUUGACGAAUAAGCAUCGGCUAACUCCGUGCCAGCAGCCGCGGUAAUACGGGGGAUGCGAGCGUUAUCCGGAUUUAUUGGGUUUAAAGGGCGCGUAGGCGGGACGUCAAGUCAGCGGUAAAAGACUGCAGCUAAACUGUAGCACGCCGUUGAAACUGGCGCCCUGGAGACGAGACGAGGGAGGCGGAACAAGUGAAGUAGCGGUGAAAUGCAUAGAUAUCACUUGGAACCCCGAUAGCGAAGGCAGCUUCCCAGGCUCGUUCUGACGCUGAUGCGCGAGAGCGUGGGUAGCGAACAGGAUUAGAUACCCUGGUAGUCCACGCCGUAAACGAUGCUCACUGGAUCUUGGCGAUACACUGCCAGGGUUCAAGCGAAAGUAUUAAGUGAGCCACCUGGGGAGUACGUCGGCAACGAUGAAACUCAAAGGAAUUGACGGGGGCCCGCACAAGCGGUGGAGUAUGUGGUUUAAUUCGAAGCAACGCGAAGAACCUUACCAGGUCUUGACAUCGAUCUAAAGGCUCCAGAGAUGGAGAGAUAGCUAUAGAGAAGACAGGUGGUGCAUGGUUGUCGUCAGCUCGUGCCGUGAGGUGUCGGGUUAAGUCCCAUAACGAGCGCAACCCCUAUCGCCAGUUGCCAUCGGUUGAAGCCGGGCACUCUGUCGAGACUGCCACCGUAAGGUGCGAGGAAGGCGGGGAUGACGUCAAAUCAGCACGGCCCUUACACCCGGGGCGACACACGUGUUACAAUGGCCGGUACAGAGGGCAGCCACGGGGUGACCCGGAGCGAAUCUCUAAAGCCGGUCGUAGUUCGGACUGGAGUCUGCAACCCGACUCCACGAAGUUGGAUUCGCUAGUAAUCGCGCAUCAGCCAUGGCGCGGUGAAUACGUUCCCGGGCCUUGUACACACCGCCCGUCAAGCCAUGGAAGCCGGGAGUACCUGAAGAUCGUGACCGCGAGGAACGGGCUAGGGUAAUACCGGUAACUGGGGCU
rnacentral:rRNA from 1 species